CCGUCAGAUGACUAGCUACUGAAUCAUAGAAUUUUUUAAAAUUCAUGAUGUCGUAAGGGAAAAUAAUGAUAAUACCUUACUAUGAGUGUUGUCCAAAUCUAGUGCCAGAAGACUCGGUAAGACCAGAAACGCAAACGUUAAUCAUCAUAAACAGGCGUAAAGGGUUUGUAGGCAGCUUUUAUCAGAUUAUGAUUUCAAAAUAAAGUAGUCUAAUUAAAAGCUAGAAUCAAAAAGAGGUUAUAGUGUAUAACGCCUAGAGGAGGGCUGAUAUCCGUAGAUCCUAGGCAGAAUACUAAGGGCGAAGGCCACUUUCCAUUAAUGAUUGACGCUGAGAAACGAAGGUUAGGGUAGGAAAUAGGAUUAGAUACCCCGGUACUCCUUUCUGUAAACGAUGAAUGGUAGUCAUUAGUUUAUAUUUCAUUUUGUCUUUUUAUUUUAUUAUUUUUAUACUAAUAAAAUAAAAAGAAAAUAAAAUGACUAAAAAAAUAACUAGAGGCGAAGUUAACACAAUAACCAUUCCGCCUUGUAAGUACUACUGCAAAGUAGAAAACAAAAAAAUUAGUCGGUCUCGAAGCAAACGGAGUGAAGCAUGUUAUUUAAUCGAAAAACCCCCAAAAUUUG
rnacentral:rRNA from 1 species